rnacentral:rRNA from 1 species
CCUACGGGGUGCAGCAGUGGGGAAUAUUGGACAAUGGGCGAAAGCCUGAUCCAGCCAUGCCGCGUGUGUGAAGAAGGCCUUCGGGUUGUAAAGCACUCUCAGUGGGGAAGAAAGCCUUGGGGCUAAUACCCUCGAGGAAGGACAUCACCCACAGAAGAAGCACCGGCUAACUCCGUGCCAGCAGCCGCGGUAAUACGGAGGGUGCGAGCGUUAAUCGGAAUUACUGGGCGUAAAGCGCGCGUAGGCGGUCUGAUAAGCCGGUUGUGAAAGCCCCGGGCUCAACCUGGGAACGGCAUCCGGAACUGUCAGGCUAGAGUGCAGGAGAGGAAGGUAGAAUUCCCGGUGUAGCGGUGAAAUGCGUAGAGAUCGGGAGGAGUACCAGUGGCGAAGGCGGCCUUCUGGACUGACACUGACGCUGAGGUGCGAAAGCGUGGGUAGCAAACAGGAUUAGAUACCCCAGUAGUC